rnacentral:rRNA from 1 species
AUUGAACGCUGGCGGCAUGCUUUACACAUGCAAGUCGAACGGUAACAGGUUAAGCUGACGAGUGGCGAACGGGUGAGUAAUGCAUCGGAACGUGCCCGAUCGUGGGGGAUAACGCAGCGAAAGCUGCGCUAAUACCGCAUACGAUCUGAGGAUGAAAGCGGGGGACCGUAAGGCCUCGCGCGAUCGGAGCGGCCGAUGUCAGAUUAGGUAGUUGGUGGGGUAAAGGCCCACCAAGCCGACGGUCUGUAGCUGGUCUGAGAGGACGACCAGCCACACUGGGACGGAGACACGGCCCAGACUCCUACGGGAGGCAGCAGUGGGGAAUUUUGGACAAUGGGCGAAAGCCUGAUCCAGCAAUGCCGCGUGCAGGAAGAAGGCCUUCGGGUUGUAAACUGCUUUUGUACGGAGCGAAAAGGUCCUUUCUAAUACAAGGGGCUCAUGACGGUACCGUAAGAAUAAGCACCGGCUAACUACGUGCCAGCCGCCGUAAAAC